rnacentral:rRNA from 1 species
UACGUAGGUGGCGAGCGUUGUCCGGAUUUACUGGGCGUAAAGGGUGCGUAGGCGGACUUUUAAGUGAGAUGUGAAAUACCCGGGCUCAACUUGGGUGCUGCAUUUCAAACUGGAAGUCUAGAGUGCAGGAGAGGAGAAUGGAAUUCCUAGUGUAGCGGUGAAAUGCGUAGAGAUUAGGAAGAACACCAGUGGCGAAGGCGAUUCUCUGGACUGUAACUGACGCUGAGGCUCGAAAGCGUGGGGAGCAAACAGG